AAUGGGGGCAACCCUGAUCCGGCCAUGCCGCGUGAGUGAAGAAGGCCCUAGGGUCGUAAAACUCUUUCGCCUGUGAUGAUAAUGACAGUAGCAGGUAAAGAAACCCCGGCUAACUCCGUGCCAGCAGCCGCGGUAAUACGGAGGGGGUUAGCGUUGUUCGGAAUUACUGGGCGUAAAGCGCACGUAGGCGGAUUAGAAAGUUAGAGGUGAAAUCCCGGGGCUCAACCCCGGAACUGCCUUUAAAACUACUAGUCUAGAGUUCGAGAGAGGUGAGUGGAAUUCCGAGUGUAGAGGUGAAAUUCGUAGAUAUUCGGAGGAACACCAGUGGCGAAGGCGGCUCACUGGCUCGAUACUGACGCUGAGGUGCGAAAGUGUGGGGAGCAAACAGGAUU
rnacentral:rRNA from 1 species